AACGUAGGAGACAAACGUUAUCCGGAGUUACUGGGCGUAAAGGGCGUGUAGGCGGUAUGUUAAGUCUGGCGUGAAAGCUCUCGGCUAAACCGGGAGAGGUCGUUGGAUACUGGCAAACUAGAGGAUGGUAGAGGCGUGUGGAAUUCCGGGUGUAGUGGUGAAAUGCGUAGAGAUCCGGAGGAACACCAGUGGCGAAGGCGACUCGCUGGACAGAUAUUGACGCUGAGGUGCGAAAGCGUGGGGAGCAAACAGG
rnacentral:rRNA from 1 species